rnacentral:rRNA from 1 species
GAUGAACGCUAGCGGCAGGCUUAAUACAUGCAAGUCGUGGGGCAGCAUGAGUAGCAAUACUUGAUGGCGACCGGCAAACGGGUGAGGAACACGUACACAACCUUCCUUCAAGCGGGGAAUAGCCCAGAGAAAUUUGGAUUAAUACCCCAUAAUAUAUUUGAUAAGGCAUCUUAUUAAUAUUAAAGCUUCGGCACUUGAUGAUGGGUGUGCGGCUGAUUAGAUAGUUGGCGGGUAACGGCCCACCAAGUCUACGAUCAGUAGCUGAUGUGAGAGCAUGAUCAGCCACACGGGCACUGAGACACGGGCCCGACUCCUACGGGAGGCAGCAGUAAGGAAUAUUGGACAAUGGACGAAAGUCUGAUCCAGCCAUGCCGCGUGAAGGAUUAAGGUCCUCUGGAUUGUAACUUCUUUAUAUGGGACGAAAAAGGGGCAAUUUCUUGUUCACUUGACGGUACCAUAUGAAUAAGACACCGGCUAACUCCGUGCCAGCA